CGAAAACAUUAAGAGUAGGUGGAUGUUACUUUGGACACCAAAUGAAGAAGUGUGCCGAGCUGAAAGAGAAAAGGAGAAGAAAAUGGACAUGACAUUUACGGGGUUCCUCUAGCCCUGAGCAAACAUUGCUCAGCCAUUCCCUUGUAAAGCCUAUUCUCAAACCAACUUUCCAUGUGGACGUUCAAUCAUCUUUCUGGAUGACCUCGCCUUACCCAUUGCCUCAGAUUCUGUGUGUGUGUGUGUAUAGAAGAAACAAAGAAAAAAAGUGCUUUUCACAUAGUGAGGACAUUUCCCCAUCCUAUGAGUCUGUGUAUGUGUGUGCAUAUGUAUAUGUAUGUGUGUUUCUCCAAAAGAAAUGACCAGGAGUCAGUGUUUCUUUAU
rnacentral:lncRNA from 10 species